ACCAGCUCUUCAAGUGGUCGGGAUAAUUAUUGGGCUUAAAGUGUCCGUAGCCGGUUUAGUAAGUUCCUGGUAAAAUCGGGUAGCUUAACUAUCUGCAUGCUAGGAAUACUGUUAUACUAGAGGGCGGGAGAGGUCUGAGGUACUACAGGGGUAGGGGUGAAAUCUUAUAAUCCUUGUAGGACCACCAGUGGCGAAGGCGUCAGACUGGAACGCGCCUGACGGUGAGGGACGAAAGCCAGGGGAGCGAACCGGAUUAGAUACCCGGGUAGUCCUGGCCGUAAACGAUGCAUACUAGGUGAUGGCACGGCCAUGAGCCAUGUCAGUGCCGUAGGGAAACCGUUAAGUGUGCCGCCUGGGAAGUACGGUCGCAAGGCUAAAACUUAAAGGAAUUGGCGGGGGAGCACCACAAGGGGUGAAGCCUGCGGUUU
rnacentral:rRNA from 1 species